GGGCGGAGAUCGCCGCAGCGGGCGUCGUCGAGGGGCAGGCUUUCCCGGCGAAACCUGGCGCGGAGCGCGUCCACGUCGCCCGGGGAUGCGAAGUCAGCCCCUGGAUCGUACCACUCGUCCGCAUCCUCGGAGAAAGUCUCGAACAUGACGCGCAGCAAGCCGUCCUGCACCGCCACGCGCGCGCCGUACCACGCCUCGUCGGACCGCGCGCGGUACUCAAUUCCGGGCCGUGGGCGACGCGCCGGCGGCGCCAGCGCAACGGUGGCACCCCGCUUUCGCGACCUUCUCGGCAUUUCCGCGGUAAUGUGGGACUGGCGGCGCUCGGGUCGGCCCGUGGGAUUUGGGACGUGGAGAGGACAGGGCGGCGGCUUUCCCGAUGUUUUAUACCGUCAGAUUCUGG
rnacentral:lncRNA from 1 species